GACGAACGCUGGCGGCGUGCUUAACACAUGCAAGUCGAACGAUGAACCCGGAGCUUGCUCUGGGGGAUUAGUGGCGAACGGGUGAGUAACACGUGAGUAACCUGCCCUGGACUCUGGGAUAAGCGUUGGAAACGACGUCUAAUACCGGAUAGGACCUUGGAUCGCAUGAUCUGGGGUGGAAAGUUUUUUCGGUCUGGGAUGGACUCGCGGCCUAUCAGCUUGUUGGUGAGGUAAUGGCUCACCAAGGCGUCGACGGGUAGCCGGCCUGAGAGGGUGACCGGCCACAAUGGGACGGAGACACGGCCCAGACUCCUACGGGAGGCAGCAGUGGGGAAUAUUGCACAAUGGGCGAAAGCCUGAUGCAGCAACGCCGCGUGCGGGAUGACGGCCUUCGGGUUGUAAACCGCUUUUAGUAGGGAAGAAGGGCUUCGGCUUGACGGUACCUGCAGAAAAAGGACCGGCUAACUACGUG
rnacentral:rRNA from 1 species